rnacentral:rRNA from 1 species
AGUGGCGGACGGGUGAGUAACGCGUGAGCAAUUUGCCCUUUGGAGGGGAAUAACAGCCGGAAACGGUUGCUAAUACCGCAUAAGACACGUUGGAGGCAUCUCCGGGGUGUGAAAGGAGAAAUCCGCCAAAGGAUGAGCUCGCGUCCCAUUAGGUAGUUGGUGAGGUAACGGCCCACCAAGCCGACGAUGGGUAGCCGGACUGAGAGGUUGGCCGGCCACACUGGAACUGAGACACGGUCCAGACUCCUACGGGAGGCAGCAGUGGGGAAUAUUGGGCAAUGGGGGAAACCCUGACCCAGCAACGCCGCGUGAGGGAAGAAGGUUUUCGGAUUGUAAACCUCUGUCCUAUGGGAAGAAGGAAGUGACGGUACCAUAGGAGGAAGCCCCGGCUAACUACGUGCCAGCAGCCGCGGUAACACGUAGGGGGCGAGCGUUGUCCGGAAUUACUGGGCUUAAAGGGUGCGUAGGCGGCCCUGCAGGUCAGAUGUGAAAUACCCGUGCUUAACAUGGGAACUGCAUUUGAAACCGUAGGGCUUGAGUGCGGAAGAGGUAAGUGGAAUUCCCGGUGUAGCGGUGAAAUGCGUAGAGAUCGGGAGGAACACCAGUGGCGAAGGCGACUUACUGGGCCGCAACUGACGCUGAG